rnacentral:rRNA from 1 species
CCUACGGGUGGCAGCAGUGAGGAAUAUUGGUCAAUGGACGGAAGUCUGAACCAGCCAUGCCGCGUGCAGGAAGACGGCUCUAUGAGUUGUAAACUGCUUUUGUACAAGGGUAAACCUGAAUACGUGUAUUCAGCUGAAAGUACUGUACGAAUAAGGAUCGGCUAACUCCGUGCCAGCAGCCGCGGUAAUACGGAGGAUCCAAGCGUUAUCCGGAUUUAUUGGGUUUAAAGGGUGCGUAGGCGGAUUGAUAAGUUAGAGGUGAAAUGUUCGAGCUUAACUCGGGAACUGCCUCUAAUACUGUUGGUCUAGAGAGUAGAUGCGGUAGGCGGAAUGUAUGGUGUAGCGGUGAAAUGCUUAGAGAUCAUACAGAACACCGAUUGCGAAGGCAGCUUACCAAUCUAUAUCUGACGUUGAGGCACGAAAGCGUGGGGAGCAAACAGGAUUAGAUACCCCGGUAGUC